rnacentral:tRNA from 1 species
GGGUUUAUAGAUCAAUGGUAGAUCACAUGCUUUGCAUGCGUGUAAUAUCGGUUCAAAUCCGAUUAAAUCCA